GACAAAUCAUCCAUCUUUGGAAGCUCAACAGAAGAUGGUGUCUUGAACAUCUGGGAUCACAAUAAGGUUGGUGAACGUUCUGGUCCAGCCUCAAAGUUUGCACCUGGCUUAUUGUUCAGACACUCUGGACAUAGGGAUAAGGUGGUUGAUUUCCACUGGAACUCGCAUGAUCCAUGGACAAUUGUCAGUGUGUCGGAUGAUGGUGAAAGCACAGGUGGCGGUGGAACUCUACAGGUAUGUAUAU